CGUAGGCGGCUUUAUAAGUCAGAUGUGAAAUCUAUGGGCUCAACCCAUAAACUGCAUUUGAAACUGUAGAGCUUGAGUGAAGUAGAGGCAGGCGGAAUUCCCCGUGUAGCGGUGAAAUGCGUAGAGAUGGGGAGGAACACCAGUGGCGAAGGCGGCCUGCUGGGCUUUAACUGACGCUGAGGCACGAAAGCGUGGUAGCAAACA
rnacentral:rRNA from 1 species